GUACAGACAAGUGCUGGAGACUCACAGAAAUGAAGCAACUCCCCUGCUCCUCACAAAAUGAUGUGGUGGUGCCAGUAGCUGCUGACACUUACUCUGCUACUGCUUCAGCUGCAGGAAAACUGGGCACAGGUCAGACUUGCUGCCAUCCAUCCUUGUAGCUGGAGUUGGAGAUUUUCGAGCCACAGGAUGCUCAGGGAUGUGAGGUGCCUCAGUGCUCCUUUUACUAGUUUAUCUCUAAGCUGUCUUCAAACCUCCUUGAAAGCUAACAUCAUCCAUGGGCAAUCAGGAUCUCAGAGCAGAGAGGGCUGCUACCGAGUCUUGAGCAACACAGGGAGGAAAGUCUGCCAGCACUCCUCCAACCUUCAGCAGCCACUCCAGACACAAGCCAAAGGCAGGAGAUGCAGCAGGUGUGGAAGUGUAACUGGACCACGAACUCUACGUUCUUAUUUUGGAGCUAGUGGAAUAGGACAGACCUACCAGUCCUGAGCUUCAAGCUGCUGGAAUCAAUACCUUGCUUGAAAGAUUUAACACUUAUUUCUACCAAGCCUGGAAUUGUCAGCUGAGAUUUUCUCUACAGGAUAUUAGCAGAAACCAAUUGAGUGAUUCAAGCUGCUACGAAUCCCUCCACUGGGAAGGUUCUAGAUAGUCUGGAUCAGGC
ensembl:lncRNA